rnacentral:rRNA from 1 species
CUGUAGUCGUGCCCGGUAGGCAAAUCCGCCGGGCUUAGAUGAGGGGUGAUAACGAGGCUGCUUGCAGCCGAAGUGAGUGAUACCCUGCUUCCAAGAAAAGCCACUAAGCUUCAGCUAUUGACGACCGUACCGCAAACCGACACUGGUGCGCGAGAUGAGUAUUCUAAGGCGCUUGAGAGAACUCGGGAGAAGGAACUCGGCAAAUUGGUACCGUAACUUCGGGAAAAGGUACGCCCCGGU